rnacentral:rRNA from 1 species
GUCUGUGGCCACACUACCCUGAUCAUGCUGACUCUUGUCUGAUCUCAGAAGCUAAGCAGGGUCAGGUCUGUUUAGUACUUCUAUGGGACAUAAUCCCUGAAAUUUCAUGUUUGAGGGC